AACGAACGCUGGCGGCGCGCCUAAUACAUGCAAGUCGAGCGAGAAGACGUAGCAAUACGUUUGUAAAGCGGCGAACGGGUGAGGAAUACAUGGGUAACCUACCCUCGAGUGGGGAAUAACUAGCCGAAAGGUUAGCUAAUACCGCGUACGCUCCUUGGACUUCGGUUCAGGGAGGAAAGCGAUACCGUGGGUAUCGCGCUCUUGGAUGGGCUCAUGUCCUAUCAGCUUGUUGGUGAGGAACGGCUCACCAAGGCUUCGACGGGUAGCUGGUCUGAGAGGACGAUCAGCCACACUGGCACUGCGACACGGGCCAGACUCCUACGGGAGGCAGCAGUAAGGAAUAUUGCGCAAUGGGCGGAAAGACCUGACGCAGCGACGCCGCGUGGGGGAGUGAAGGUCUUCGG
rnacentral:rRNA from 1 species